rnacentral:rRNA from 1 species
AUGAGUAGAGUUCUUCCACUCAUUGCCAUGCUGCAGCAGGGUGAAGGAGAGAGUUCUUGGGGGAUGGCGAGUGAUCGUGGUAGAGCUGUACCAUUCGGCCAAGCUCUUGGAUAUGGAAUCCAAGGCCAUGCUCCUCCCCCUGCCAACUUCCUGAGGGAGUUGCAACCUGCAGCCGCUGCUUACUUUGGCGAGUUGGAGGAGGCCCUUAUCCAUGGCACCUGCGCGGCCGGUGUCGAUCCUGUCAUGAUUGAAAGUGAUGCCCACACCAAGUCAGCAGCAGUAGCAGCAGCGGCAGGAUAUCUUGCGGCUAGGCCCCCCACGUUGGAGAUCUUCCCUUCUUGGCCAAUGAGUCAUCUACAGCAGCCAUACAGUGGGAACUCGCAGUCAGUAGGGAGCACUGACUCCAGCUCAGCCCAGAACACAAUGUCACAGGCCGAGUUGGUGUCCCCAGUGAGCAUGAGGACCGACUCUGGGCAGCAGCAGCAGGACCAGCAGGAGGCGUUGAUGGUGACCAUUGAUGAUUACAACUACAGUCAAGGACUUGGGGCUGCACCAGCCACUGCACCAAGCUUUCAGCAACAUGCAGGAGCCCAAGAUAAGAGAAAGCCUGGAUCCACAAGAAAAGAUGGCAAAUUGGUAGAUCCCAAGACUGAAAGGCGAUUGGCGCAGAACAGAGAGGCUGCGAGGAAGAGCAGGCUGAGAAAAAAGGCUUAUGUUCAGCAGUUAGAAACAGGUCGGAUUAGGCUUCAGCAGAUCGAGCAAGAGCUUCAGAGAGGGCGCUCACAGGGUCUGCUCACGGGAGGAUGUAGCGCGCCCGGAGAGAUGAGUUCCGCCGCUGUAAUGUUCGACAUGGAGUAUGCCCGAUGGUUAGACGAAGACAACAAGUACAUGGCGGAGAUUCAGGGCGCUCUGCAGGCCCAGGUCCUGGACGCGGACCUCGGCACCAUUGUCGAAGACUGCAUGCGGCACCACGACGAGCUGUUCCACCUGAGGGCCAUGCUCGCCAGGUCCGACGUCUUCCACCUCAUGACCGGCAUGUGGGCUACGCAGUCCGAGCGGUGCUUCCUCUGGAUGGCCGGCUUCCGGCCUUCAGAAGUCCUCAAGAUGCUGAUACCUCAGCUUGAUCCGUCGACGGAGCAGCAACUGCUGGGGAUGUGCAACCUGCAGCAGUCAUCGGAGCAAGCCGAGGAGGCGCUCGAGCAGGGGCUAAAGCAGCUGCACCAGUCACUGGCCGACGCGGUGGGCGCUGGCCCUCUCAAUGACGGUGCAGAUGUUGCCAACUAUACCGGUCUCAUGGCUCUAGCUCUUGACAGGCUAGACAACCUCGAGAGCUUUUAUCGUCAGGCCGACAACCUGAGACAGCAAACCCUGCAUCACAUGCGACGGAUCCUCACCACCAGGCAGACGGCUCGGUGCUUCGUCUCCCUCGGAGAGUACCAUCGCCGCCUCCGCGCCCUCAGCUCCAUCUGGGCUUCACGUCCUCGCGAGAAUUUCAUGAUGCCGGAGAAUGUCAGCUCUACAGCAACAGAAUUCCAGGCCAUUCACCAUCAGUCGCAGCAAAACCAGUUCUCCGGCCUCUGA